UGUUGGGGAUGGGAAACUAUUCACUUAUUAUGUGAGUUGUAAAAGUGUUUAUUACUCUGGGAACACAAGGUGAAUCCCUCUUUGUUGGACCUGAACUUUAAACUCAUGAGGUUAUCACACAUUAUGUUUCAACUGUUUUAUGGUCACUGAUAAGUUAUUGCAAAGAAAGGAAUUUCUUUAACAGCAUUAGAUGAUUGGAUGGAUUGGUUUGUUAUGUAGUUCUUAUUGUGUCUUGUGUUGAAAACAUACACCAACCAGCCACAACAAUAAACCCACCUGCCUAAUAUUGUGUAGGUCCCCUUUGUGAUGCUAAAACAGCUCUGACCUGGCCAGGCCUGGACUCCACUAGACCCCUUAAGGCAGCCCUAUUCAAUUAGCGGCCCGCGGGCCACAUGCGGCCCGAAAGCAACCCUCGAGUGGCCCUAAAGCAACUGCCGAGUGAUUGGGACUUGGGUCCGAGAAAAACAGAAAAACAUCUUUCAGUAACACUGACAAGUUCUUACAAAAAUUCCAACAUUAUUGCAAACAUUGAAUGCAACACUUACCGUAACCUAGCAACUAACCCACAAUGCAUUGUGUUGAGUAGACGCGUUUGAAAAGUUAACAUUAGCAGUUCUAUACAGGCGAAAAUAGCAGCGUGUCUUUUUCUAUCCUGAAACGACAAAUCGGCGAGGAAAACCGUCGGUUUAAUCCUGCGUGGACUGACAAGUAUUUAUUUAUUUACCACCAAGUCCGAACGCCAAACCAAUGCGUUUACUCUGCAACGAGUGCGUUGCAGCGCUGAAAGAUUAUCAUGUCCGAAGACACCACAUUGGAAAACGUUUCGGACAAACUUUCCCGAGGGAUGUCACGAGAGAGCGGCUAUAAUUCAGAGUUUGACUGCAUCUUACAACCGGAGCUGUACUACAAUGAAGCGGACCUGCACAGCUCAGGAAAGGGCCACGAAAAAGAGGCCGUUCACAGACUCAGAAACAGUGAAGGACUACAUGUUGGCUGUCGUGGAUGAAGUUUUAACGGACGAUAAAGUUAAGACGAGUGUGACAUCUGCUAUCAAACAGGUCUGACAAGUCAAACAUUCUCGCCACAGAUGUCUUCGAGACAUGAAGGACAAACAGCAGCUGAAGCAGCCUUCUCUCCAGAGAGCUCUUUCAUGUGAUGUAUUGAAGUGAGAUUGUCAGACAACAACAGCAACGACUGUAGCAACAAAAGACCAAAGAACUACAGACUCUUCACAACCUGCUCAAACUCUUGGUACAGGACCUCACCACACGGAUCAAGAAGGUUUCUGUCUCAUUUCUACUCUGAAGAUCACCUUCUCCUGCUCAAACUGCUGAUAAAUGUUUCUGCUGCUCUAAAGUCUGGUCUCCAGAACUUCCUAAAAACUCUCAAAGUCUCUUCUGCUGCAGGUUGCUUUGUAGAACUGUUCCAGAAAACCUCACUAAACCACAUGGAGGGGCCUCAAGAUAGUCGUCCAAAUGAAACCAUACAAAAACCAAACUAGUACAACCCAAACGCUAAAGUCUCCUGCAGCCUACCAGAGAACCUCUGAGAACAGAGAAUCAGGACAGGAACUCUUACCUUCUGGACAACCAACCUUCGUUCACAAACAAGAAUACAGAAUGUGUCUGACCAAAAACCUCUGAAGACUCACUACAGCCAAGAUAAAGACACAACUCAGCUGUACCAAAUCCACUAAUCACUGCACACAUUAGUACCAUGUGCUAACUGUGGCUAAAGAACCACAUUUACCAAGACAACUAUCCAGUACAAAGCCCUAAAACACACCAAGAAACACAUUAAAGUCUAUUUUACUGCUGGAAGCUGCAAGCCAACGCCUAAAGAACAAGCUAAAGCAAUGGAACCAAACCCGGUUCAGUGGUGGAGAAGCAGAGGAAAUGUUUGUCUGCAGCUAAAUAAAGCAGGAAGACACUGAGCUGCUCAGGUGUUCCUGAUAACACCAAGCUGCUCAGGUGUUCCUGAUAACACCAAGCAGCCACCUGGACAGCCAAUAGGAACACAGCUUCCUGGAAAUCCAGAGGGCGGGGUUAGUGAAGGAAAUUUAAUUUAAAGUUGAAGCAGAAAGUUAACAAAGAAAGUUGAAAACCACCUUCUGAUACCUGAAAUCUCUGAGUUUUCACACAAAGAACACCUGAACAUGUCAAACUGGUUCCAUAGUAGAACCAUCAUUGUAAAAACGUCAUAGUAUGAUGUGUUGCUCAAAAAACAUUAGGACCCGGCUGUCAGGGGACAAACAUGUAAGAAACAUGAGAACAGAGAGAACCCAACCAGUAGGUCACAAUUUAUCAUCCCCCAGUCAUCUCCUGAAGUCCAUAUGGUGAGAGACAUCAGUAUCUGGUUGUUAAUUUACCAGAGGAUGCUUAUAAUCAUGCUGAUGUGGUCUGUACUCUACAGUAUUUUAGUGACUCAAUAAAUGCCUAAGUUGUUUUUUUUUUUUUUUUAAUGCUUUUUAGUUUUUAAUAAACAUUUAACAGCCUAUAUGUAAUCAAUAAAUAGCCUUUGCCUAACUUAAGAAAAAUUCAUUCAGAACUCUGAUAUGUUAACAGUACUAAAUAAAUCAAUAAAUACAUGCAUACACACAAAAAUAAGUUAAUACAUUAACUGUGUUAAGAUAAGAUUUAGAUUUUAAAAAAAGUUGUUUAUGUUUUUGCAGAAUCCAGUAUUGCUCACUAGUUGGUCAUUACAUUUUGUUAGUUUGAUUUCACUGUUUAAAAUGAUGCCACCUCUUUUCAGACAGAACCUGUGAUAAUAAAACAUUACAAAAUGUUUAGUUCUGUGUUAAUAAAGCACUUAAAUCUUUAAGUAUGGCUAAAUGCUUUUUUCAAAAUUAAAUAUAUCACUCCUUAGGUGGUAGUGGCCCCAAGUUCAGUAAAGUUGGAAAGAUAUUCACAGAUUCGGACUUCCAGCAUCAAUAACUCAUUAGAUAUAGGUUGUCAAAACAUAAACGGUGCCUCUUUCCCAUUGUUGCAAGGCAGACAAUGUGCUACAAGCCCAGUUUUAUCAAAAGUAGCUGUCUUUCAAGCUACAGGAAUAACAUUGGUGUCUAUGGAGUGAACAGGGUCCAUCUGCAAUUUGCAAAACCUCUGCAACAGUAAAGAGAGACAAAUAUUCAAUAACUUCACUCUUAUACAUUGUAGUGUCACUAAAAUCACUGCAGCCUUCAACUGGCUCCUGUUGACAAAGUGUUUUAACAGAAAUGUAAAUGCUGUAAUUUGAUUCUUUUAAUGAACCAUGUAACUUGAAUGGAUGUGAUGCUGGUGUGACCACAGUGCACACGUCUGAUGUUGCUCACAGUGGUCCAAGGGACGCUCAGGGAGUUUGUGUGUUUGUUCAGACUCAGGAAAAAUUAGAGGGAACAUUGCUCGUGACUACAUGAGCUAGAGCAAUGAUUUGGGACCACCAGAAUGCUAAUAUGCUAAUGUUUAGCAGGUAAGUCACUAACUUACAAAGGUACUUAGGUAGCUGGGUAAUGCUUGCUAAUUAGCGCAUAUUGACCACUGUGGUUGAGGGUGUAUUAAGGUUAAACAGAUUAACAUGCUAAUAUUUCUAGGCGUUUUACAUCGGCAGUUAGUUAGGUAGCAGGCAGACAUUCACUGAUUAUUAAGUGCUAGAAGCUUCUGUUUCUGCCUACUACUGUUUUGAGCAAAGCAGUGAUUUAACAUAAAUGCUAAAACUGGAAUCCUAACAUGCUAGCAUUUAGCAGGUAUAUUGGUAGAUAGUUAGGUAGUAGGCUAAUAUACUCUAAUUGGGACUGUUAGAAAUUUAUCCUAUUGACACAUUCAGUAGAGACAUUGAGACAUGUCAUUAUAAAACAAAACGAUGACCCAUUAGGAACACAAUCAAGAGACCAGGGAAGUCAGUACAUUUCAAUCUCUAUUCAUCAUGAAUGUCUGUGUAAAGUUUCACAGCAGUCCUUUGAAUGUUUCUUGAGAUGUUGCAGUCUGGAUCAACAGAAUGACACCGCCAUUUCUCCAUACUACGACAAACCUCAUUAUCAAAAUAUCUUAAUGUGAAAAGUCAAAUAUAAAUUGUAGUUCGUUUUUUUUUUUUUUUUCUAUAUGGUGAGGAACUUGGGCAUUGUCUUUUUUUGUAGGUUUUCCAGGGGUAGAUCCACAAUUUACUGGAGGGAUUAUAUAUCUCAUCUGGCCUGGGAACCUCACAGGAUCCCCGAGGAGGAACUGAAAAACAUUGCUGGGGAAAAGGAUGUAUUGAAUGCCCUGUUUAGCCUGCUGCCAACGUGACCCAACUCUGGAUAAGCAGAAAGAAAUGAACGCAUGAAUUACCAGAAAAGAACAGACUGUACAAGAGGAACCUAAAAUGCAUGUGGGCUUCACACAGCAGCAUAAUACGAAUUUUCUCACUGGUCAUCCAGAGAUUGGAAAAGAUAACUGUAGUUCAUCCAAAGAAAACUUCUUUUUAGUAGUACGUAGUAUUGAAUAGAUAAUAGAUGCACUGUGGGGGAGCUGUGUUACAUAACUAUUCCAGCAGUUCUGAAGAUCUUUUAUGUUAAAGAUGGAUGGAACUUUGCUUUAGAUCCUACAUCAGAUUGAAGCUUAAGGCCAAUACAAAAUAAAACUAGGCUCCUUGUCAACAAAUGCCAGAUCAUAAUGAUCCAUUAAGCAGAGAAAUAUUAGCAAAACUAAGUGCGUUUGACAGAACACAGAGUCCACUAUUGUUGUUGGAUUGUCAUCAAAGUCUCUUAGUAGUUUUGAGCCAAACACAAAGCUUGUCCUCGGCGAAGAUCAAAGCCCAGUGGAGCCUUUCAUGCGGCGGCGUCGCAUUGUGCUCAUCGUGAGCCACUCGCCUUUUGUUCAUGCAUGUAAAUGGUAGCGAUGAAAGGAGUGGUGCAGUUGCAGACGGAUGGGGGGGCUGAUCUGAAUCAUGCUCUGAGAGACUGAGACUGAAAACACUGCCUCUGAAACCCCCCCUAUAACCACCACCACCUUCGCUGCCUGUAAGCUCCUAUAUCUUCAUGGCUCACUAAAAUAUUAAUCAGUCCUGGAGCAAAAGCAGUAAAGCCUCAAAACCACAGCGUCACAUGUGAAUGCACACACAGCCUCGGACGCACACACAUUGUUCAGAGCAUGGGGACUUGUAUAAUUUAGUGGUUCAGUGCUUUUGAUAUCCUGCAGUGGCUUGCUGAGGAAUACCAAGCUUCAGACAUGACUUCCUCCCAGUAGACUAUAUAGGAAACUGCAGUGUCCUGCUGCCCUGCAUGUCAAAUUGAAAACAGUCCUGUAAUUCACACACAGCACUGGGUAAAUUGAUGGCUUCGGCUCAGAAUGUAUCGCCUAGAUGUGCAAAAAUAAUACAUCUGAUGUUCCGGUUUUGUGCUUUGUCCUGUAAUUAUUACCCCCAAUGGAGGCCGUCUGCAGUAACAAAUACACAUGUCAGUAACCGGUCAUGCAUACACGAGAUGUUCAGGUGAUUUAUGGAGCACGAUAUUCCCAUUUUGCUUGCAGCCCUUGCAGUUUCUGGGCUUAUAGCUUCCAAGACAUGAUUGAAAUUGAAUGUUGCAUGUAAAGGCCAGCGCUUGCUGUGUAAACAUCCUGUGGAAAAACUGAUUUAAUUUUAGGUGUUUGUCUUGUGUCUGAACAACAGAAUAAAGAGGAAUAGCAAACUACUGUACAAGGAAGGAAGCUAGAAAAAAAAAUCCAUGCAAAGUGCCAAAAAGAAGAUGCCAGCCCUUGUCAGAUUGAAUGUUCUGAGCCAUGCUGAGCCGAACGCGCUACGUUUGAGCUCCGUCGCUGCACAUGUCAGCUCGUCCCGAUCCGGGGUUUGUUAUGAAGACAGCAGGAGCCACAGAUUAUGCUCCUGUUCAGCCUAAUUUCAUCCAAAGUUGGGAAUUAAAAGAACAAGUUUGAAGUUACUGUCCUGACACAUUUGCAUUUCUACAUCACUCCAGUAGGUAAAUGUUUAAUGUGUCUCUGCAGACGGGUUUUUAUGUAAGUUGCAUAAUUCUUUGUGAAUCAACAACUUGCAGUGGUGUCAGGUAACUAAGUACUUUUACUCAGGUAUUGUGCAUGAGUAUUUCCUUUUUUUUUGCUACUUCAUUCGUCUACUCCAGUACAAUUCAGAGAGAAUAUUGCACAUCACUCCAGUUUGCUACUUUUCAUAUUUUAGAUUAAGAAUAACAAAUAUAAUCAACAAAUAUAUUACGAUGUAUUAUUAUACAUAUAAAUACCAGUCUAUGGUGUCCGGACUUGUGUAGGUAUAGUCAUAAUCAGUAACUGAGUACUUUUACUAAGUAUUGAGCCUACGUUCAAUUUUGGGAUACUUUUCUUGAGUAUUUCCAUUUUUUG